rnacentral:rRNA from 1 species
AUUGAACGCUGGCGGCAGGCCUAACACAUGCAAGUCGAGCGGAUGAAGGGAGCUUGCUCCUGGAUUCAGCGGCGGACGGGUGAGUAAUGCCUAGGAAUCUGCCUGGUAGUGGGGGAUAACGUCCGGAAACGGGCGCUAAUACCGCAUACGUCCUGAGGGAGAAAGUGGGGGAUCUUCGGACCUCACGCUAUCAGAUGAGCCUAGGUCGGAUUAGCUAGUUGGUGGGGUAAAGGCCUACCAAGGCGACGAUCCGUAACUGGUCUGAGAGGAUGAACAGUCACACUGGACCUGGGACCCGGUCCAGCCCCCUCCGGGGGGCACCGGUGGGAAUUUUGGGCAAGGGGGCGAAAGCCUGAUCCGCCCAGGCCGGGUGUGUGAAGAAGGUCUUCGGUUGUUAAAGCCCUUUAAUUUGGGAGGAAGGGCAGUAAGUUAAUCCCUUGCUGUUUUGACGUUCCCAACAGAAUAAGCCCCGGCUACCUUCGU